GUGAGGUAUGGUUUUUACUCUUUGUAUUCCUACAUUAUCUGAUAUCUCAAAUUGAAAUAUGUCAAGUUUAUCAAUUACCAUCUUCCUUUCUACAGCCUCACUUUCGACUUCAAUCCAAAGACACAGGUGAGAUACGACUUGAACUACCCUUUUGCUAGAACUGUUGUUGAAUGAAUAUAUUAGGGUAUACAAUAGUGUCUUUGCUGUCUGACUUGUCUUAUUGUUAUUGAAACUUCCAAUUGGAACAUUUAUGAGAUCAAGAAGAUUUGUCUAUUUAAUCUCUUGAUAUCGGAUGCACAAGUUGAUCACGUCUCAAGUUCAAUUAUUAAUAGGUUCCUGAUUGUGCUCGUGUCUACUUUUCUCUAUGUAAAAACACUCAACUUCUGUUGGUUAGCUGCCACCAAGUCUGCAGACUCUGUACUUGAUUUUUCUCCCCACAUGUUUGAUUAAUUUUGUUAGGCAAUGGAAGUAAUUGCUUAUUUUUCUUGCUAGAUUGUUGAACCAUGCAUUCUAAAUUGUUGUGAUUUUUCCUGUUUCUCUAGAGGACUUGUUAUGUUGGUGCAGGUACUUAAUCUUGCAUAUACAGCUACUUCGCCAUCAAGCACAUAUAGCUCAACUGCUCUACAAAGAGCAAAGUGCAUUGAAAGUUAAUUUUAAAUCACGUUGGACCACUAAUAUUUUAUGGCAUGAUAUAUUGCAAUAUUAGAUGAUAGCUUUUCUUGAUGUAGUUGCAGGGUAUGGCUACUAAAAUUCGAAGGCGUAAAUAGAGUAACUUGGGCUUAUGAGAUAGGCCAAUGCAGCACCCACAUAGUAUAUAUCAAUGAAUCUAUAUUAUACACUAUUUUUUACUCCCCCCCUUGCUCUGAUUCCUUGAUUAGAUCUUUUCUAUUUAGUGUAGAAUUAAGUUUUUAUGCAUCUAUUUCCACCUCUGGGGUGCCAUUUGCUAAUUCAUCUCGUUUAAAGGUGUUUGAAUAAGUUACCAUAUGAACAUCCACUUAUUUGAUGAUUGAGUUUGAAAUUGUUAAUUGCGUGCACUUACUGUCAUUGGAUGUACAUUGAAAGGGCUUGUUAGUCUAAAGUAGACAACUAUAGCUUGCAUGUAUUUUCAUUAUAGUUUCCCAUUUUUCUGCAAUUUACUUGGCUUACUUAUAGCUAUAUCUCUUACUCUCGACCCAAUCUACUCUAUGUUGUAUUUGAAAUAUAAAUUUCUUGUAAUAUUAGCAGGGAUGCACAUCAUUCAGUGUUGGAGGGGUAUGCUAAACAUUCUGCAAAUAGUUACCCACAGGAGGACGAAGAAAUGCAAGAAGUGAGAGUCUGUUGAGUGUUAUGCAGUUUGAUGGCGUUUCUUUAACUUGUUGUUUAUGGAUCUAACCAUCACAUUCUUUUCUUUGCACUUACAUGAUUAGAGUCAAGCAUCUAAAGUUGAGGGUGAGUGUUCUCUCUUAUUUAUUCCAGCCACAUACAUAUAUUUUGUCAUGAUAGUAGUUUUUCCUAUCUUAAUAAUAAAGAACUCUCAUUCUCAACUGUUUUGUCCAUUCCUUCUUUUUAAUUAAUUAGAGCUUUCUUUUUAUUAGAUGAUUUUUUUCAAAUUUUUGUAGGAUUUAUAAGAGUUGGUUAGUUGACAUUUUUUCAUUGCAUGAGACAAUUCUAGCCCUAUUUUACUUUUGUUGUGGCCUAUAUUUGUUCUAUAUACUUUAUUUCCCCUUGUGCCAUGUUAUUCAUCUUUGUGUACGCUAGGAUUGAUAUGAUUAUAGAUUCAUGUUCAAACUCAUUAAAUAAAUAAACUUGUUCUAAGGUUGAAUUAUCAAUAAAUGCUACUGCGUUUGAACUUGUUUCAUUUAAAGGCAGGAUAAGGGAAUCUUCUUCAACGAGUUACCUAAAGGCGCACAACAUGUCCUAAAGCACAAGGGGGGUAGAAACCUCUCUUACUUGGAUCAAUAGUUCUGCAGAAACAUCGUGGAGAAGGUACUUCAAUUUCUGCAAGUCGUGGAUUGUCUCAUAGUUCAUAUAUUGCUUCAUUGUCUUUAGAGAAGUCAACACUUAAUCCACAUGUCAGGGUGAACUAUAGGAUUGGAAAAUUUGAUGCAUGCCAUUCAUAAUAUAGCGUCAUCUUGUCACAUGGUGCGUUAGAUUUGCAUGCUUAAUUUGUCUUUUGCUAUCUUUCUUACUUGUCUUCAUAUUCUUUCAGGAACUCAAAUUGAAUGCAUGUGCUAAGAGCUUCGUCCCAUUUCAGUACGCUUAGGUC
rnacentral:lncRNA from 1 species